GACGAACGCUGGCGGCGUGCUUAACACAUGCAAGUCGAACGGAAAGGCCCUGCUUUUGUGGGGUGCUCGAGUGGCGAACGGGUGAGUAACACGUGAGUAACCUGCCCUUGACUUUGGGAUAACUUCAGGAAACUGGGGCUAAUACCGGAUAGGAGCUCCUGCUGCAUGGUGGGGGUUGGAAAGUUUCGGCGGUUGGGGAUGGACUCGCGGCUUAUCAGCUUGUUGGUGGGGUAGUGGCUUACCAAGGCUUUGACGGGUAGCCGGCCUGAGAGGGUGACCGGCCACAUUGGGACUGAGAUACGGCCCAGACUCCUACGGGAGGCAGCAGUGGGGAAUAUUGCACAAUGGGCGGAAGCCUGAUGCAGCAACGCCGCGUGCGGGAUGACGGCCUUCGGGUUGUAAACCGCUUUCGCCUGUGACGAAGCGUGAGUGACGGUAAUGGGUAAAGAAGCACCGGCUAACUACGUGCCAGCAGCCGCGGUGAUACGUAGGGUGCGAGCGUUGUCCGGAUUUAUUGGGCGUAAAGGGCUCGUAGGUGGUUGAUCGCGUCGGAAGUGUAAUCUUGGGGCUUAACCCUGAGCGUGCUUUCGAUACGGGUUGACUUGAGGAAGGUAGGGGAGAAUGGAAUUCCUGGUGGAGCGGUGGAAUGCGCAGAUAUCAGGAGGAACACCAGUGGCGAAGGCGGUUCUCUGGGCCUUUCCUGACGCUGAGGAGCGAAAGCGUGGGGAGCGAACAGGCUUAGAUACCCUGGUAGUCCACGCUGUAAACGGUGGGUACUAGGUGUGGGGUCCAUUCCACGGGUUCCGUGCCGUAGCUAACGCUUUAAGUACCCCGCCUGGGGAGUACGGCCGCAAGGCUAAAGCUCAAAGGAAUUGACGGGGCCCCGCACAAGCGGCGGAGCAUGCGGAUUAAUUCGAUGCAACGCGUAGAACCUUACCUGGGUUUGACAUGGAUCGGGAGCGCUCAGAGAUGGGUGUGCCUCUUUUGGGGUCGGUUCACAGGUGGUGCAUGGCUGUCGUCAGCUCGUGUCGUGAGAUGUUGGGUUAAGUCCCGCAACGAGCGCAACCCUUGUUCACUGUUGCCAGCACGUUAUGGUGGGGACUCAGUGGAGACCGCCGGGGUCAACUCGGAGGAAGGUGGGGAUGACGUCAAGUCAUCAUGCCCCUUAUGUCCAGGGCUUCACGCAUGCUACAAUGGCUGGUACAGAGAGUGGCGAGCCUGUGAGGGUGAGCGAAUCUCGGAAAGCCGGUCUCAGUUCGGAUUGGGGUCUGCAACUCGACCUCAUGAAGUCGGAGUCGCUAGUAAUCGCAGAUCAGCAACGCUGCGGUGAAUACGUUCCCGGGGCU
rnacentral:rRNA from 1 species